CCUACGGGAGGCAGCAGUGAGGAAUAUUGGUCAAUGGCCGGAAGGCUGAACCAGCCAAGCCGCGUGAAGGACGAAGGUGCCAAGCAUUGUAAACUUCUUUUGUCAAGGGACAAAAUCAGGCACGAGAGCCUGACCGAGGGUACUUGAAGAAAAAGCAUCGGCUAACUCCGUGCCAGCAGCCGCGGUAAUACGGAGGAUGCGAGCGUUAUCCGGAUUUAUUGGGUUUAAAGGGUGCGUAGGCGGACUGUUAAGUCAGCGGUAAAAGCCCGGGGCUCAACCCCGGCGAGCCGUUGAAACUGGCAGUCUUGAGAUGUCGAGAGGUAUGCGGAAUGCGCAGUGUAGCGGUGAAAUGCUUAGAUAUUGCGCAGAACUCCGAUUGCGAAGGCAGCAUACCGGCGGCGAUCUGACGCUGAGGCACGAAAGCGUGGGUAUCGAACAGGAUUAGAUACCCGUGUAGUC
rnacentral:rRNA from 1 species